AGGAUGAACGCUGGCGGCGUGCCUAACACAUGCAAGUCGAACGUCCUGUCUCGCAAGAGGCAGGGAGUGGCGGACGGGUGAGUACCACGUGGGUCAUCUACCGUGAGGUGAGGAAUACCGGCGAGAAAUCGCCGACAAGACCGCAUAGCCUCGGUGCAAGUCGAGGAAAGCUCUCUCGAGAGAGGGAGCGCCACACGAGGAGCCUGCGCCCGAUUAGCUAGCUGGUGGAGUAAUGGUUCACCAGGGCGACGAUCGGUAGCUGGUCUGAGAGGACGAUCAGCCACACUGGGAUUGAGAACGGCCCAGACUCCUACGGGGGGCAGCAGUGAGGAAUUUUCGUCAAUGGGGGCAACCCUGAACGAGCAACGCCGCGUGCAGGAAGAAGGUUUUCGGAUCGUAAACUGCUUUCGCGGGAAGAGGAACGGACGGUACCGAGGAACGAAGACCCGGCUAACUACGCGCCAGCAGCCGCGU
rnacentral:rRNA from 1 species